CACGUAGGGCGCAAGCGUUUGUCCGGAAUUAUUGGGCGUAAAGAGCUCGUAGGCGGUCUGUUACGUCUGCUGUGAAAACCCUGGGCUUAACCCUGGGCUUGCAGUGGAUACGGGCAGACUAGAGGCAGGUAGGGGAGAAUGGAAUUCCCGGUGUAGAGGUGAAAUUCGUAGAUAUCGGGAGGAACACCGGUGGCGAAGGCGGCGACCUGGGUAGAUACUGACGCUGAGGCGCGAAAGCGUGGGGGAGCAAACAGG
rnacentral:rRNA from 1 species